rnacentral:rRNA from 1 species
UUGAUCCUGGCUCAGAUUGAACGCUGGCGGCAUGCCUUACACAUGCAAGUCGAACGGCAGCACGGGGGCAACCCUGGUGGCGAGUGGCGAACGGGUGAGUAAUACAUCGGAACGUGUCCUGUAGUGGGGGAUAGCCCGGCGAAAGCCGGAUUAAUACCGCAUACGAUCUACGGAAGAAAGCGGGGGAUCGCAAGACCUCGCGCUAUAGGGGCGGCCGAUGGCAGAUUAGCUAGUUGGUGGGGUAAAGGCCUACCAAGGCGACGAUCUGUAGCUGGUCUGAGAGUGACGACCAGCCACACUGGGACUGAGACACGGCCCAGACUCCUACGGGAGGCAGCAGUGGGGAAUUUUGGACAAUGGGGGAAACCCUGAUCCAGCAAUGCCGCGUGUGUGAAGAAGGCCUUCGGGUUGUAAAGCACUUUUGUCCGGAAAGAAAACUUCUGCCCUAAUACGGUGGGAAGGAUGACGGUACCGGAAGAAUAAGCACCGGCAAACU